rnacentral:tRNA from 2 species
GCCGACGUAGCUCAGCUGGUAGAGCAACUGAUUUGUAAUCAGUAGGUCGCCAGUUCGAUUCUGGCCGUCGGCU